UCGCCAUUUUGAGAGUGGCUGGUCAUGGAGAAGCAGAGCUCAGAAGAGCAUAAGCACUUGCUUGAUUUGAUCAACAGGGAAGCAUAAGGCUGGCUCAGAUAUUAGCUCUUCUACUCCCCUCAUUGCAGGUGCUGAUUUCCCCCACCUUGUGUUACUGCAUUUGUUUUGUUACUGCUGAAUUACCUUCGGUUUGCCUUUGAUUCGAUGC